rnacentral:tRNA from 1 species
UCUCUUGAGGUCCAGUGGCUAAGACUCUGCACUUCCAAUGCAGAGGGCAAGGGUUUGAUCCCUGAUUGGAGAA